GACGAACGCUGGCGGCGUGCUUAACACAUGCAAGUCGAACGGAAAGGCCCUGCUUUUGUGGGGUGCUCGAGUGGCGAACGGGUGAGUAACACGUGAGUAACCUGCCCUUGACUUUGGGAUAACUUCAGGAAACUGGGGCUAAUACCGGAUAGGAGCUCCUGCUGCAUGGUGGGGGUUGGAAAGUUUCGGCGGUUGGGGAUGGACUCGCGGCUUAUCAGCUUGUUGGUGGGGUAGUGGCUUACCAAGGCUUUGACGGGUAGCCGGCCUGAGAGGGUGACCGGCCACAUUGGGACUGAGAUACGGCCCAGACUCCUACGGGAGGCAGCAGUGGGGAAUAUUGCACAAUGGGCGGAAGCCUGAUGCAGCAACGCCACGUGCUGGAUGACGGCCUUCGGGUUGUAAACCGCUUUCGCCUGUGACGAAGCGUGAGUGACGGUAAUGGGUAAAGAAGCACCGGCUAACUACGUG
rnacentral:rRNA from 1 species